rnacentral:rRNA from 1 species
AAAAUGGAGAGUUUGAUCCUGGCUCAGGAUGAACGCUGGCGGUCUGCUUAACACAUGCAAGUCGAACGGGAAUCUUAGGAUUCUAGUGGCGGACGGGUGAGUAACGCGUGAGAAUCUGCCUUCAGGACGGGGAUAACAGGAGGAAACUGCUGCUAAAACCGGAUAUGCCGAAAGGUGAAAGUAUUAAUAGCCUGAAGAGGAGCUCGCGUCUGAUUAGCUAGUUGGUAGGGUAAAAGCGUACCAAGGCGACAAUCAGUAGCUGGUCUGAGAGGACGAUCAGCCACACUGGGACUGAGACACGGCCCAGACUCCUACGGGAGGCAGCAGUGGGGAAUUUUCCGCAAUGGGCGAAAGCCUGACGGAGCAAGACCGCGUGGGGGAGGAAGGUUCUUGGAUUGUAAACCCCUUUUCUCAGGGAAGAAAAAAAUGACGGUACCUGAGGAAUAAGCAUCGGCUAACUCCGUGCCAGCAGCCGCGGUAAUACGGAGGAUGCAAGCGUUAUCCGGAAUAAUUGGGCGUAAAGCGUCCGUAGGUGGUCAUUCAAGUCUGCCGUUAAAGAGUGGGGCUUAACCCCACAAAGGCGGUGGAAACUGAAAGACUAGAGUGCAGUAGGGGUAGAGGGAAUUCCCGGUGUAGCGGUGAAAUGCGUAGAGAUCGGGAAGAACACCGGUGGCGAAAGCGCUCUGCUGGACUGCAACUGACACUGAGGGACGAAAGCUAGGGGAGCGAAUGGGAUUAGAUACCCCAGUAGUCCUAGCCGUAAACGAUGGAUACUAGGUGUGGCCUGUAUCGACCCGGGCCGCGCCGGAGCUAACGCGUUAAGUAUCCCGCCUGGGGAGUACGCACGCAAGUGUGAAACUCAAAGGAAUUGACGGGGGCCCGCACAAGCGGUGGAGUAUGUGGUUUAAUUCGAUGCAACGCGAAGAACCUUACCAGGACUUGACAUGUCGCGAAUCCACUUGAAAGAGAGGAGUGCCUUAGGGAGCGCGAACACAGGUGGUGCAUGGCUGUCGUCAGCUCGUGUCGUGAGAUGUUGGGUUAAGUCCCGCAACGAGCGCAACCCUCGUUUUUAGUUGCCAUCAUUAAGUUGGGCACUCUAGAGAGACUGCCGGUGACAAACCGGAGGAAGGUGGGGAUGACGUCAAGUCAGCAUGCCCCUUACGUCCUGGGCUACACACGUACUACAAUGCUACGGACAAAGGGCAGCAAGUUAGCAAUGACAAGCAAAUCCCAUAAACCGUGGCUCAGUUCAGAUCGCAGGCUGCAACUCGCCUGCGUGAAGGCGGAAUCGCUAGUAAUCGCCGGUCAGCAUACGGCGGUGAAUCCGUUCCCGGGCCUUGUACACACCGCCCGUCACACCAUGGGAGUUGGCCACGCCCGAAGUCGUUACCCUAACCUGUUCGCAGGAGGGGGAUGCCGAAGGCAGGGCUGAUGACUGGGGUGAAGUCGUAACAAGGUAGCCGUACCGGAAGGUGUGGCUGGAUCACCUCCUUUU